rnacentral:piRNA from 1 species
UUCCCUACAAAUUGAGUAGCGUGCCC